UAACUACGUUAAGCGGUGUGAAUUGCAGGACACGCCGAGCAUCGGAUUUUUGAACGCAUAUUGCGGCUUUGGGUCAAGUCCCUGAGCCACGUCUGUCUGAGGGUCGGAAAAGAAAACCAUGCUAUAAGCCUACAUAUCAAAGUACAACAAUUUUUAUUGUAUAACUUUGUUAGGCGAACCGAAGGCAUUGAAAACUCUGCUGUUACGAACUAGUAGUUCCGGCGUAACAACACCACUGUUGCUUCGCUGCCUAUUCGAAGUAGAGCGUAUAAUGCAUUUUAUAUAUUGGUAUAAUUUCACUGUCGACCUCAGAUCAGGCGAGAUUACCCGCUGAAUUUAA
rnacentral:misc_RNA from 1 species